GGGGGAAGUGCUGAAUCCUGGGCUGUGUCCCCUGCGCCCUGGGCUCCGAGCCUGCACUGCUGGAAUCGUGCUCCCGGGCGGUGCAGCCCCUU
rnacentral:pre_miRNA from 1 species